rnacentral:rRNA from 1 species
AUUGAACGCUGGCGGCAUGCCUUACACAUGCAAGUCGAACGGUAACGGGCCUUCGGGCGCCGACGAGUGGCGGACGGGUGAGUAAUACAUCGGAACGUGCCCGAUCGUGGGGGAUAACGAGGCGAAAGCUUUGCUAAUACCGCAUACGAUCUACGGAUGAAAGCAGGGGACCGCAAGGCCUUGCGCGGACGGAGCGGCCGAUGGCAGAUUAGGUAGUUGGUGGGAUAAAAGCUUACCAAGCCGACGAUCUGUAGCUGGUCUGAGAGGAUGAUCAGCCACACUGGGACUGAGACACGGCCCAGACUCCUACGGGAGGCAGCAGUGGGGAAUUUUGGACAAUGGGCGCAAGCCUGAUCCAGCCAUGCCGCGUGCAGGAUGAAGGCCUUCGGGUUGUAAACUGCUUUUGUACGGAACGAAAAGCCUUCUUUUAAUACAGGAGGGUCAUGACGGUACCGUAAGAAUAAGCACCGGCUAACUACGUG